CACCGCGUGCACUGGUCCGGCCGGGCCUUUCCCUCUGUGGAACCCCAUGCCCUUCACUGGGCGUGGCGGGGAAACAGGACUUUUACUUUGAAAAAAUUAGAGUGCUCCAGGCAGGCCUAUGCUCGAAUACAUUAGCAUGGAAUAAUAAAAUAGGACGUGCGGUUCUAUUUUGUUGGUUUCUAGGACCGCCGUAAUGAUUAAUAGGGACAGUCGGGGGCAUCAGUAUUCAAUUGUCAGAGGUGAAAUUCUUGGAUUUAUUGAAGACUAACUACUGCGAAAGCAUUUGCCAAGGAUGUUUUCAUUAAUCAGGAACGAAAGUUAGGGGAUCGAAGACGAUCAGAUACCGUCGUAGUCUUAACCGUAAACGAUGCCGACUAGGGAUCGGACGGUGUUAUUACUUGACCCGUUCGGCACCUUACGAGAAAUCAAAGUGCUUGGGCUCCAGGGGGAGUAUGGUCGCAAGGCUGAAACUUAAAGAAAUUGACG
rnacentral:rRNA from 1 species